GCACAGCUUAGUUGUACAAUCAUGUUGUGACAAAAAGGAAUGUUCUGUGUAGGAAACAGCACAUAGCGUUCAUGUCUAAGUCAGACAUUGGAAAUUUCCAAUGUGAAAAUGCCAUUCAGUUUAGGCAGCAACUCUGGUGUGUAAAUUCCAUUGUGUACUGUCUUGUCUCCACAGGGGGAUCCAGGGCCUGAGGGACCACGAGGACUGCCUGGUUUGGUGGGACCUCAGGGCCCAGCAGGACAAGUCGGCCUGCCUGGAUUGAAAGGUGAUAAGGGUGAAGUGGGACAAAGGGGUGAACCAGGAGAGAUGGGGUACCAGGGUGAUAAGGGUGCUGCUGGUGCUCCUGGUCCUACUGGGCCAAGAGGGAAACCAGGACCAAUGGGUAAAAUUGGUGAGAUGGGGCCACGAGGACCACCUGGGCCACCAGGACUAGAGGGGUUUCCUGGGGACAUUGGAGUACCGGGCCCCAAUGGUCCACCCGGACCAAAGGGUUUGCAGGGUGCUAGGGGGCCCCAGGGCCCGCUGGGGCCAAAAGGAAUACAGGGUGAUGAAGGACCGCUUGGCCCACCUGGCCCCGCUGGCCCUACUGUAAGAUCUCCCAGAUUCACAUACUAUGUGCACACAAACAGGCAGACUGACUAUUUUGCAUGUUUAAAUAAUGGUCUGUUUAGGUGUUUUAUCAUACGCACAUUAUGACCUUUGAGAACUUUGACGUGCUAUCAUUUAAUCUUACGUGUGUGUAUCUCUCUGCAUCUGCAAUCUCUCUGCCUGUUCUUCUAGGGACGACCAGGAAGGAAAGGCUACAUAGGCGAACCUGGUUCAGAGGGUUUAGAGGUAAGUCUACGUUCAAAACUUACCAUAACUUACAAAACAAACUUACUAUAAGCAUAGACUCAUGGUG
rnacentral:lncRNA from 1 species